UACGGGGGGGGCAAGCGUUGUUCGGAAUUACUGGGCGUAAGGGGCUCGUAGGCGGCCGACUAAGUCGGACGUGAAAUCCCUCGGCUUAACCGGGGAAUGGCGUCCGAUACUGGUCGGCUCGAGUGUGGGAGAGGGAUGCGGAAUUCCAGGUGUAGCGGUGAAAUGCGUAGAUAUCUGGAGGAACACCGGUGGCGAAGGCGGCAUCCUGGACUACUACUGACGCUGAGGAGCGAAAGCCAGGGGAGCAAACGGG
rnacentral:rRNA from 1 species